CGAGCUGCCAGUGAGCCUUGGGUGAGACAGAAUCUGUAAAAAGGCAGUCAGUCAGCUGUUGUACUUCAGCGUGUGAGUUUAUACGUAUGCAAAAUGUCAUACUGCAAGCAUUAAAUAACAAAAAAGCUUAAUACAACUGAAAAAAAACAAACAAACAAACAACUACAGAUCGUGCUAUGUCUCGAUCAGUGUAAAAUCCAAGAAAAAGAAAAGAAAAUAAAAAUCCCCAACAGAGUGAAGUGAAGUGUUAAUCCCUAGCCAUAAAACUUAAGCCAGAAGAAGCCCCCUCGCGAACAGCCGGUUAACCAGGAAUCUCGGAUAACCGGGCUGAAUUUCGGAUAACCGAGGCAUCCACCAUGAGAAUUGACGGAGAAAACGGAGCUCCUCUGUCACCCGGUUCUUCUGCAGCAUCCAACUCCUCCGCAGGUUGGUAACGAGUCUAGAGCGCUACACAAGGUAAUCAAGAAUGUGUAAAAAAAAUGCAUUCUGGUUCCCCACUGCGAUAAUUGCUUGCUUGUUAUCCUUCUCGUGCACAUAUGCAUAUGAAUGUAUAAACACAUUUGCAUAUGCAGAUAAAAAAAGACGACGAGAGGGAGAUAGAGAGAUAAGAAAAAUGUAUCUUUUGUAUUACCGUAACUGCCGUGACUUCCUGUUCAGUACAGAAUGCCGGGAGAAUUAUCAUGAUUGUUAUCUCUAGCACCUCAAGA
rnacentral:lncRNA from 1 species